GAAAUGGGGUGGGGCCCCUGGUAAAGUCCUCAUGGGUAUCGAGUUUGACGGGUUUUUUGCCAUCCCUAUGUCUAGGAUAGCUUAUCAUGAAAUGGUUUGAAUACAAUUGUGUUCCCAAACUUAUCCACCAUUCUAGCCAAGUGAGAUCAAGUCCUUGUUUGAUGGCCAUUAUAAAGAAAAUUUGAGGGAAAAUGAUGUUGAGUAGUGAUUUUUUUGGAGAAUAUGUGGUUAAAAAUUAGAGAAAAGUUUUGGAUUUACAUGAAAAAUAUUUUAUUGUAUGAAUGUAUAGUUGAUAAUGAGUAUAAGAAAUAAAAAGUUUUGAUAUAAAGAGAGUCAAACAGGGGCUAAAUAAAAAAUACAUUGUUUAGCUUUUCUGCUUGCUAAGAUUGUUCCAUUUUUAUGUGCACUGUGUUCAUUUACAUCUCAUGCUAACAUUCACCGUUAAUCUGGCAAACCUGAGAAAUUGUUCUCUACAGGUAGCUUGUUGCAGCAUCGGAAGAAGCAGUUUCUCAAGUACAGUUUUGUGUACCAUAUGAAGCUUUAGUUAUAAUUUGUAAUUGAUUCUUAGCUAGGAAUUCAGAUUGAACUGCUUUAACGCCAUUUUUUUGGGUGAUAAGGAUCUAGAUCACAAGAUUAAUUGAUGGGAAUGUGACAGGCAGGUUUUUUCCUUUUAUCCAUGAUGAUUUUAGAUUGUUAAAUGUUGAUAGGAGGUUUACUUGAUUUUACUUUUGCUUGUGACAGAAAAUAAUCCGCUUUAGUGUCGUAUUGGAUAUAUUAAAAUAAGUUAAAAUCUUAUCAUUGUACCAUUCAGUCUUGUAUGUGAUAAUUUUUACCUGGACAUGAAACAUCGGAGCCAUCAUUGUUUAUGGAGCAAUGAGGUUAUUGUUGAGAUGCCGAGGACUUGAGGUUAUGUUCGACAAUGGGACCGACCAUAAUUAAGAAAAAAAAUACGUAAAAAUUAUAUAUAUAUUAUCGGUCUAAUGUACCUAAUUGCUUUAUAUUAAGUAAAAAUGUUCAAGCAAUGGUUUUUUAAGAUAAUUUUUUCAUGAAACUUUCUAAAAGAUGUAGAAAUCUUGUCAAUCGAGC
rnacentral:lncRNA from 1 species